rnacentral:sRNA from 1 species
CCAUAGCCCCGAUAGUAACGACAUCCUUUUUGGUGGCGGACGUAGCGAAGCGGAGAUCGGUACCAAAAAGAUACAGUGGAUAGCGGGAAAAAGC